rnacentral:lncRNA from 1 species
AUGGGAGACCCAGAAGAAGCUCCUGGCUCCUGGCUUUGGAUUGGCUCAGCUCCGGCUGUUGUAGCCAUCUGGGGAGUGAACCAACGGAUGGAAGACCUCCCUCUCUCUCUGCCUCUGCCUCUCUGUAAUGCUGCCUUUCAAAUAAAUAAGUACAAUCUUUUUAAAAAAUCCACUGAACUGUCCACUCUGGCUCUCGGUGUUGUCCAUUUCUUGGCUGAGGUUCUCUGUGCCUCUGAUCACAGGCACGGCCACCACGGAAGCGUCUGUGAAACCUCGGUGGGAUGGUCCUCACCGGGGUCACCAGGGUCACGGGGUCACGGGGUCGGCCUGCCCUGCACUCUGAGCUCCUCCUGGUUCUCACGAGUAGGUGAUUUCCCAAUGCAAACUGGGCAUCUGGGGCUCCUCGAACCCCUCCCUUCACUGCUUCCCCAGCCAGGUGGGGUGGGGGCGGGGCUCGAUGGCCAGAACUCCACCUCCGUGGACACCCCCACGGGGGAGGGGUCACCACUGCCUCUGGCGGGAGUGGGAGUCCCGGCUCCUGGAUGCCCUGUGACUGCGCCUAUGUGGCUCCACACCAACAGGUCCUCCCUCCCUGUCCACGGAACCGAGUGGACGUCCAUCGCCCCCACAGCCCAGCUGAGGAACAGGCCCUGGGACACCCUGCGGUCCCCACUUGGGAACGCAGACCCAGUGAGGACUGGGGGGCAGCGGCAAAGUCACCACUCGACACCCAUGCUCUUGGCUCCAAGACCACUGCCCCACAGACCCGGGAGCCCCCAACACGCGGGGAGGGUGCCAGGCCCGCCCACCCAGUGCAAUCAUGGAAACUCCAAGCGGCCAAAGGACAGCCUCGCCUGCUUGGCCAGCCAGCCAGACUCGGGGACAGAGGCUCAUGCAGCUACUGCACCCCUGGACAACACAAACUGUGCUCCACACCCCUGCACAGUACCCGCUCCCUCAGACUACGGAGCGUCCACCUGGAGGCGGCCUGGCUUCCUGACCGCUGCAAUCCCCCAAACCGAGACGCACCCAGGAGCCCUGGAUGGCAGAGCAGCCGGCAGGCCAGGCGCCCGGCUCCCGGCUGGCGAGCGGGGUCUGCACCCAGCUGGCGGCGCCGUCCUGGGACCUGGGCCCUCCGCCUGGCUCUGGGCGGCAGACUGCACAGCAAGGGGAGAGCCGGUGACCGGGAGGGAAGCUGCUCUCUGA